CCUACGGGUGGCAGCAGUGGGGAAUUUUGCACAAUGGGGGAAACCCUGAUGCAGCGACGCCGCGUGAGUGAAGAAGUAUCCCGGUACGUAACGCUCUAUCAGCAGGGAAGAAAAUGCCGGUACCUGACUAAGAAGCCCCGGCUAACUACGUGCCCGCAGCCGCGGUAAUACGUAGGGGGCAAGCGUUCUCCGGAUUUACUGGGUGUAAAGGGAGCGUAGACGGCAGCACAAGUCUGGAGUGAAAUCACGGGGCUUAACCCCGGAACUGCUUUGGAAACUGUGCGGCUGGAGUGCAGGAGGGGUAAGCGGAGUUCCUGGGGUAGCGGUGAAAUGCGUAGAUAUUGGGAGGAACACCGGUGGCGAAGGCGGCUUACUGGACUGUAACUGACGUGGAGGCUGGAAAGCGUGGGGAGCAAACAGGAUUAGAUACGCGAGUAGUC
rnacentral:rRNA from 1 species